UGGGGACGCGGCGGGAUGGGGCGCGGCGGGGCAGCACGCACCAGGUUCUCUACGGCCGCACGCUCCAGGAACUUCUGCGCCGCUUCCAGCUCCAGCCGAUCUGGGGGGAGGAAUGGGGAGAGGGAGCGGGGUCAGAGGGGCCACCCCCUCCCCCACCCCAAUCACCUCAGCCCGACCCCCGGCCCCGAGUCCUACCCGGAGACACGGUCUUCUCGAGAAUGGUGAUCAGCUCCAUGGCGGAGGUGACGGCGGCGGGGACUCUUCCGAAGACGACGGCCCGGCCUCUCGGGCGGCGGCUCCAACUGGGGAUGGGGGUUGGGGGUCGGGUGGGAAGGGAGGGUGGGGUAGGGGGCGGGGGUCACCACAAGCCCAUUCACCGGCUGCCUCUGGGCAGGCGCUCUGUCGCCCCUUCCUCCCCUCUCUCCUUCCUUCCGCCCUCCUAAUGCGCUAGGCGGCGGCAGCUGCUCUUCUGGCGGCGGGGGAGGGACCCCGGGGGCAGCUCAGAGCGCGGCUGGUGCUCAGGCGGCGGAGGGAGAAAGAAGGAAGGGCGGCAGUAAGUGAGAGGCGGAUCGCUAGAAGGGAGAGGGAUUGAGGGAGGGAGGCGGAGGGAUAUUCUUGCCGGACCUCUCCGCGGCGGCACCGCGCUGCGCGAUGAUUGGCUGCUGCCGCGGCUACGCAGACUCGCCAAUUGGCCAGAAGGUUAACGUUGAAGGGCCGCCGCGCGCCUAUUCGCCCGCGGGCUUCAAGGCCCGGUUGGCUGGGCGGGCAGCGGAAUGGGGAGCGCUCAUUGGCCGAGGGGAGGAACAUUGGGGUGGGGCAGGUAAGAGCCGGCCUCCGAUUGGGCCGGCCUGGUAAAGGCCUUCGGGCUCACACCGGCUGUGCGCGGGGAGGAGGGCGGGCGGAAGGAAGCUGCUGUUACAGCGAGGCCUGCCGUCCGCCAGGCUCUCGGCUGGAGCCGGACCGUGAGGACCACGUGGUUCACCUUCCGACGUGCGGAUUUGGAAACUGAAGCCCAGAGAGAGCGCGGAGCGUGUCCAAGGUCACACAGCCGGUGGAGGACUCGAUCAGAGCUGGGUUCGGGCGUGCUUCAUUGCCCUUGGAGUCCCUGUCCGGACCUCUGCGGUUACAAAAGUUUCACGGAGGCGCGUCCUUAGACCAGUCAAUUUAACAGCUACCUUAAACCAUUGGUGCUCAAACUUAAGCCUAAAAGAUGUGUAUAGAAGGAUAUCAAGACCAUGUGUAGGCAUGGCGACACACCUACAAUCUCAGUAUCUCCAAGGCCGAGGCAGCCUGAGCUACAGUCUGAGAUUUAAAAAAAAAAA